UACAGAGGUCCCAAGCGUUGUUCGGAUUCACUGGGCGUAAAGGGUGCGUAGGCGGUCGGGUAAGUCUGAUGUGAAAUCUCACAGCUUAACUGUGAAACUGCAUUGGAUACUAUUCGGCUUGAGAGUUGGAGGGGGGACUGGAAUUCUUGGUGUAGCAGUGAAAUGCGUAGAUAUCAAGAGGAACACCAGUGGCGAAGGCGAGUCCCUGGACAACUUCUGACGCUGAGGCACGAAGGCGUGGGGAGCAAACAGG
rnacentral:rRNA from 1 species